rnacentral:lncRNA from 1 species
UGUCAUCAUUUGUCAAGGCUGAUUGCGUGGAGCUUAGAAAAAUGUUUUUGUAAUCAUGAUAAGAUUUUUUACUGUAUCGAUGCUCAUCCAGAUUGAGGUUGGAAGAUGUCUUCAAGGAUUCAUACCAUUUCUUACGAACAGUGGCAACUAUGGCAGUGGCAUCCACUAGUAAAUGUCCUAAGAUGGAUUGAACCAGAUGAAAAGGAAGCUUAUCAAUAAAAUCCAUCUUGAUGUUUUUCCUUUUUCACCUUUCUCUUCUACCUUGAAUCACUCGAGGAGUCUAUUUUUGUUUUCUUGACUUCUGUCUUGCUUCGUCCUCCAUGGCAUCAACCCACAAAACUCUCAGUAGUACUACAAGCAAAAAUGAGUUGCUCUCACUAAUGUCACUAUCAUAAAUUCAAUUGAUGGGGAAAUUAGAUCAAUGAUGGAGACUCAAGGCUUUGGAAAUGGAUUGUGUUAGGUGGAGAAGAAGAGAAAAAAAAAACCAU